GUCUAUGGCCAUACUACCCUGAAUAUGCCUGAUGUCAUCUGAUCUUGGAAGCUAAGCAGGAUCAGGCCUGGCUAGUACUUGGGUGGCAGAAAUACAGGGUGUACCAAGAGUCACCAUAAAUA
rnacentral:rRNA from 1 species